UUUCCCUUAAUCCUUCCCCACGUCCCCGUCCCCCCCUUUAUUUUUUCAGUUUAACUUUUUUUUUUUUUUUUUUUUUUCCGCUCGCGGAGGGAGGGAGGGGGUCGGUUGGCAGCGGAGAUUUUGUGCGUGGGGCCACGGCAGCCGCGCCCGUGGCUUCCCCCCCUCCCCGCGCCGAGGGAAGCCACGGGGGUAACGAGCGGCCACGGAGGACGUCUGCGGCCGCCGGGGAGCUCCACCGCCCUGAGCCGGAGCGGGCCGGGCCGGGCUGCCCGGCAGCCGCAGCCGAGGAGGUAACGCCGCUGUGAGAACUGCCGGAAGCGGGAAGCACGGCGGCCGCUUCCCGCCCUUCCCGCCGACCGCGAGAGGAGCGCCCGCGGAGCCCGCCCGGAGGGCCGGGCGCUGCGCCGGGCCCCGCGCUGAGGGCUGCGGAGAGGAUCCCGCCCGCCUCCCUGGCAGCGGGCUCCCAGGGAGAGUGUCUGCCCUGCCGGCACAGCAGACGCCUUGGGUGAUUCAGAAAUAAGCAGUGGGAGCGCUCGGUGAUUUUCACGGGAGGAAGACAGCAGCCAGCAAGGCCCCAGCUCCCUGCCAUCUUGAGCCCUUCCUGGUGAUUUGCAGCACAGAUAAACAGAUCAUUUGCAGAAGAAAAUCAGGAGAAACCGAGCAGGGUUUGCCAGUAUCUCAGAGAUCUUUCCAGGAAGCCUCUUCUUUAACAAGGCCUCAGAUUUAAAGAUACUGAAACAGGAAUAUCUCAACAUUCAUAAUACUGACUACAUUAAGAAAAAUUUUGCUGUCAGUUUAUACUCGUGUAAAUAUGCAAGUAGCAGUUCAGUGAAGCAUCGCCGGAAAAGGACGGUUCUGUUUCACAUUCUAGUAACUGAUCUGUUAGUUUAACAAUCCUGUUUCAUUUUUCCUUUUUUUUUUUUUCCUUCUCUUUUUGUUACUCUUGGAAAUCCGGGGUGCUAGUUGAUUUGUUGAUUUCCCUUCUCUUACUAGUACCCAUUUCAAAAGGUUCGGCUGUAUUCUGCUCAGGUUUUGUUCUGACACAUGGAAAAUCUUUUUAUUCUUUUUGCAAGCAGUAGGUCGGUGAGGGAGAGGUCUGCACUGUAAAAUAGCGUACCUACUAAAUUGAACUCCAGUGGGAGACGAAAUGAGAAAGAAGAGAAUGGCUGAGGCACGUCGUUUGUCGCAGAUGUUCGUGCAGUUCUGUGUUUUAUUUUAAGCUGGAUUCAUCAAACAUGCCAAAGAGUAAUUUUUGUCUGAUAUGAAGUUUCUAUCUGUCUUCUAAGGAGACUAAGUGGGUUAAGUUUAAACCGUGGUUCGAAAAUGCAAGGAAACGUUGCCGAUCGGACACAAGAAAGUAAGACUGUUUUUGCAAUCUUAAUUCAGUAGUAAGAAGCAAAAUGUAUUAGGAUUAAAUUGCUGUGUAACACAGUUACUUUAGUUACAAAAUCCCUUUGUGUACUAAGCGCCAAUAUUUCACCAUAAAUGUCAGAAUUCCAUAGAUGAUAAAGGGUGCUUGCUCUGUCGGAGGGUAAGCAUGAAAUGCCGACGUGAUAACGUCUGAUACCAAAAUGGUGUAUGCUGCUUUUACAGUAUUUCGUAAGUUUAUAACAUAACUUUAUUACUAAAACUUAGUGAAAACGCAUGAGAUAAGCACGAAUGUAAUACUUUUUUUUUUGAGAUAGGCUGAUUAUCAUAUUUAAUAGAGUAGAACACAAAUGAGAAGGCCCAGAAAUAAGAUUACUGUAAAAGGGGGAUUUUGAAAAAUUCAUCAUAUCAAACUCAUUCUCAGUUCUUAUUAGUUUCUAUCUCUUUUAACAUGAUUUUCCCUUUUUAAAGUUCGUUUCUGUCCCUAUUCCCUCAAAAAUUCUACGCUCCUUCUCCAAAAAGGGAAGAAUGUUAUGGCUACAAAUACCUUCUGUUUAUUGAAGCAAAAUGAUUUUUUUCCCCAAAUGAAAAUAGAUGCAUUAAUUUGCUAAACUUUUCCAGUGAUGUUUACGUGUUAUUUCUGAGAAAUGAUGAGGGAUGCCUGAUUUACUGCAGCUUACUAUGAUGUAGUAGCUGUAGUCGAGCAUUUUUCUUAUUUGUAAUCAAAUAUACAGAAUUGUCAGCCUAUUUGCAUUUAAGUACCUGAAAGCUGAAUUGGAAACAGUAUUUUUAAUACAGUGAAUUUGACAUUUCAGUCUGCACUUGCUUUUUUGUUUUCUAAAUGAGCACUGAUUAUCAGAAAAAUCAAGGCUUACAUAAUCAAGCCGUACAUUUUUCUGCUCUUCUUUCUCUUCCCCCACUUUAGCCAUCAUUUUCCUCUGAAAAAUGAAAUUUUUUGAAUAGAGAAUUACUGUGACAUACUAAUUAUAUACACAUUUUCAUGGGUCUGCAUAACCAGGCUAUUUGUAUGUAUUUAGUAGAAGAAGGCCAUCGACAAAAUAUUACAACCUUGAGAUGGCUAAAGUUUAAAAUUACAGUAAUCAUUAAAUACAGCAUCAUCUUGUUGAUGUACCUGCCUGUGUACCAUUGGGUCAUUUUUCUUUGCUUGGAGAAGUAGGGUGCUUCUAUUUAUUCCGUAUUCGGAAUACAAAAAUAAGAACGUCCUACCCCAUUUUUUUUAAUCAUCGCAAAGCAGAUUCUCCUUCAUAAAGAAGCUGGUUUUAAUAUUCAGUUUUCAGAGGAUGAGAAGUGAUUGCUGUGGACAAAUAUAUAGCAAAUGAAUUGAAGCUCUGUCCUACUAGAACAAUUACAAAUUGAAUUAAUUACAAAGAAUAAUAUUAAAAUUUUAACUAAAUAUGUUAACACGAACUCCUGCCCAUAGGUGGCAGUCAGCUUUCACUAUAGUAGGGAUGCCAAACUUUUGGUUCAUGAUAUUCGUACUUAUGCUGAUGUAAUUUUAAUGGAGUAUGCAAAUGUGCAUGUACAGAAGUAUGCAGAUGCCUGCACUGGGAGAGGUGGACGAGGUAAAACGAACCCUAAAAUUAAUUAUUGAGUAUGAGUAUUCUUAAUUACUGUAUAUAAGCAAAGUAAAUUCCCAUUUUCUGGAGAAAAGUUCCAAGUAAAAACACGCAAACUAUUUUUUAUCCAUCCGUUGCUGAUGCUCUACUAAAAGAAGUAGAGAACAUCCAGAAGCAAGCAAAUUUGCCUCUGCAAAUUGAGUGAAAAGGCAAGUAUCUGGCCAGCCUUAGACACUAUGACCUCAUACUGUGCCCAGUCCUCCGAGCAAUGUUCCUAUUUCAUAGUUCUUUAUCUGUAAAUUACAGAAGUGCUGCAACGAUCAUGUUGUAUCCUUGAAAUCCUAACAGUACAUAUGGCAAACCCAGAAAAGGUACUGGGAGUGAAUGCAUUCUCUCUGAGAUGGAGAGCCAGCAGCCUGCCAUUCUCUUUCUCUUUGCAGAGCUUCCUUAGACACCCGUGGCAGCACUGCACAAGGAGAAGAUGCUGCCAAUGAGAGCAGAGAUUCACUCGAUUUUGCCCUCAGCUUUUUUAGGGCUUUAUGUGGUUUAUGAGGAUUUCCUUUUGCAAUAGAACUAAGGAGGCACUUGGGACCCCACCAAAACUGAAGGGGAUAGAAGAAGCUAAUAAGGCCAAGUUGUCUCAGUCUAAAAUAAACAGAACCGAUGAAACUACAUGUGACAUACUAAGACAACAGAGCUCUCAUGAGAAAAGAAGACUGAAAAUUAAAAUUCCUGAGUAGGAGUGUUCUACUGUGAUGGAAGAUGAAGGGCUCCGAAUUGAACAGAAUGGUACAGUAUUAUUAAAACAGAAGGCCUAAUUCUCCUUACGCAAGGAAGGCAACUAUAAGCACCGUUGUAUAAGCCAAAGCAGUCAGUAUUACUGACUGCUGAAGAUUUCAUAGUUGAACAGGAUAUUUCCACGUGUAUGCAGCCACUACAUGACUAAUUAGAUACUUGCACAUGCACAGCCCCGUUUGUUCCCCAACUAUAAUAAUUAUGAGGAUUGCACUCCACAUUAAUUUACACUCUUGUGUAACAGAAUUGACUACAAGAUAGCAGGUGGUGAUAAACUGGCUGGUGGCAAAUGUGUAAAUUUGAUAUGCAUUUUGAAAAUCAAAGCUUUCAUACUCAGUGCUGAUCUUGACAUAGAAAAGAUGGGUGAAGAACUCCUCAGCCAUCAAUUCUGAUCCCAGCUAUUGCAGACAGCCAUGUUGUACUGUGCAAGUUAUCUGCAGAGGUAUCAAACUCCAUCUUGAAGAUACCUUUGUCAUAAGGUUGCUCCUCAUUUCCAUUCCUCUAAAUGGUUACAGAUUUCUGAUAACAAGUAGUCAAAACCAGCUGACGCCCUCAUGUUCUGUGAACAUCUUUGAUUUCAGUUUAAAUAGCCUUUCUGUCUCCCUAAGGAUAAAGCCCCUUCCAAUCUGUCACUCCUUGAGCGUUCAUAGAUUUCUUUCUUUUCAUCGUUUACUGCCAUAACCUACUUGGCCUCAGCUCUGCCCAAGCAGCGGUGCUAUACCUGACACAGAAGAGGAUGCCUUUCCCCAGCCAGUCUUCUAAGCCUCCUUUGCACCUUUUGCACUUCCAAUAAAUUUUUUUUAACACACAAGAUUAGAAGUAUGCAUAGUACUCCAGAGAAGAUCUUGUCAGGGCCUUUUGUGGUAGCAUUAACACUUUCUUAUCCCUGCUGGAACUAAUAUUUUGAUAUUUUAAAACUUUUUUUUAUUCUUUGCAGACCUACAUGCUGUCAGAGUCUCAAAGGCCUUGAGGACUGAUUGAGACACCUGCUUUACCUUUUUUUAUGCAUACUGAUAGCAAAAUUCUUGUUAUUCAUUCCUAGUUUAUGGCCUUGAACUUUACAUCAUUACUGGUAUUGCAUGACAAGGGUGUCAAAAGGCUCUUUAUAAUAAGGGUGUCAUCAGUUUCAUUCAGGCCUCGGGCUUUCUGUGAGUUUUCUAGCAUGCCCAAAUUUGUUCAGCAGUCUCUAUGCUUUGCACAGCUAUGGACGUGAGAUAGUACACGCACCUGAUACAGCACAGGACCUUGCAGAUGAGCUAGCCUGGCUCGUGAAGCAGAGUUGUCUCUAGUAUUACAUUACCUCAGGCACAUCACAGUAUGUUAUUUCAGGUAAGUCUUCAGAAAGUCGGGCAGUACUUCUGACUCAGUGUCAUACCCUGGCUUCAUUUGACAGCUCUGGGACCAAGAGACCCAAUUUUGAAGUUUUUUUUCUAGGAUCAACAGAGAUGGACUUUAUUUCGCAUUGUAUUUUUUUCUGCCUAACUUGUACUUUAAUCUCCUGUCUACGGGUUAUGCCUGUAAGAGUGAAGGUGGAUCAGGAUGCACAAGAGUUAAGUGGCACUCUUGAAUAACUUGUAAAAAUAUGAAUUAUAUUAUGCUAGAGGAUUUUGGUUAUUGUUCAUACAACAAAAGGCACAAAAUCAAUUUUGUAUUAUGGACGUGAUUCAGUGUCCUGGAACCUGGCACACACCAAAUGCAGCAAAAGCUCCUAAGUAUGGUAUUUCCAUUGUGAAGAUAAACCCCACUGGUCAAGUUUUCUUAGCUGUAAUGCAGGCACGGAAAUAUAUCAAGUAGAACUGGAUUUUGUGCCCUUUGUUGCAGGAAAUUCCAGUCCCCCCUUUGUGCUAACAGUGCCCUAGGUUUGUGUCACCAGCUGAUCAUACACUUAAUUCCUAGGUUAAGGUACUCAGUGAAAAUAGUUAAUACAGUCUGUCUAGUAUCGUUCCUUAAGGAAGUCCAACAGGAGCCUUCCAUUAGCUUGGCACUUCUUCAAAACUGCUUCACAGACUUACAUUCAUUGUUAGAAUUCAUUUAGUGAUUGCUAUCUUCCGUAGCUUAACUGAUUACUUUUUUUCCAAGUAGUAUACUAAAAAUAUUUUCCUGAAAUCUAGUCAGAUUAGGUCAGCUUGUUUCCUUGAUGUGGAAAGGUAGGCUUUUUUUCUUCCUUUUUUUUUUUUUUUUUUUUUAAUGUGUGGCUAGUGUGGCAUAAUCUACUCUUAGGAAAGCUUUGUGACAUUUUUCUUAUUUUCCAUUUAUCCCCUUAUGUCCUAGGCUCCCUUGAUCCAAUUUCUUGAUGGGCAGUCCCAGUUUUUGGGUGUUUUUUUUCCUAAUAUUUUAAUCAGUAGCUUUGGUUACAUCUAAAAUCCCAUUUGAGGUAGUUGCUUUUCUACUUAGAUGCAAAGACCGAUCUGUACAAGUUUUCCCACUCUGAAAUUAAGGAAGUGGGAACAGAACUAAUUUUUUGUCAUUUCACCUCCAUCUAGAGGAUUCACAGAGAUGCUCACUCCUAGAGAUGGUGGUGAAAUACGGAUUUUCUUGGAAAUUUUAGCACGUGGCUGAAAAGGCCAUAAAAAUGAGAGCCUCUAAAUCCUGCAGUUUGCUGCUCUGGGAUUUUUGUACUUCACUUCUAGUGACAUCACAAAGGGGGAAGGAAAGUGCUGCCAUGAAAGCAUCCAUGUGCUGCUAGGAAUUACAAAGAAAGGGAAAGGGAACAAAUUUAAAAACAACCAAUCAAAAACACGGUCAUGGCGCUAUGUAAAUCUUUUCUAAACACUUUCUAAGCACUGGGUGUGUUUCUGCCUUUAGCAUACAUGCGUAGCAGCGGGCAUGUUUAAAAACACAGGACAAUCAAAGCUAGAAAGCCAGCACCAGAACCUGCUGUACAAGGUGAAAACAACACUUUGCUCCAUGUGCUUCUCCACAGACUUCAAAGGCCAAGAGAAAAAAAACCAAUGCGAGAGAGGGCAUUGCUGAAAACAUGCUAUGCAAUGAUGAAGGUGGCCUGUAGAUACCGUAUGUUUAUGCUUUGACCCUUCUUUGCACCUGUCUUCCCCCCUAUUAUCCUCUUAGAUCAAAUCUAUUAAUAAUUGCAAAGUAGUUGCAAUAGCACACUGCAGAUCAUUAGUCAGCAGGGGGUAGCGUUAUCGCCAGAAUUGUAACUCACACAUGCACUACAUGGGGUGAAAGAGAUGUGGCAGCCGGCUUUGCCGUGGUAGUUUCACAGAUGAGGCAACUGGGAGUACCUUGAUGGUCAGGAUUAGUCUUGUGAUUAAUCACAGUGUCACAGAAUCAUCACGGAAUAGCUUGGUUUGGAAGGGACCUUAAAGCCCAUGCAGUUCCACCCCCUUGCCACAGGCAGGGCUGCCACUCCCCAGCUCAGGCUGCCCAGGGCCCCAUCC